GUUAAAGUUUAUCGCGCUAAAGUUGUCCAUUAGAGAUUGGACCCCAUUGGUCGUAGUUCCGAGAACUUCCGGAUAUGACAUGGUCUCGCGACGGUUAGCAGCAAAGCGUUAAAAUUCAACGCAUACGCGUUGAGACAAUGGAUUCAAAAAAAAGUUGAAUAAAGUACUUGAAAAAGUGAUGAAACGGGAACGGGGGCGCCAUGGCAGACCUCUAACCCCUUUUGCUGAUGAGGGGUGGGGAAGGACGAGAAAUGCCAACCCUAAAUCAUCGGCUAACUUCGACCUUGCGUGACAUUGACGCUGUUACGUUAUGGUUUUAAUUGCUGGCCGCCUAGAGACGUGUGGAAGUUUUGGGUCUUACGACCGUGGUAAAAAAUUUAAACAAAGAAUUAUUGGGGGUAACGCUGUUUGAUCGGGUUUUGACAGAAUCCGUAAGGGAUUGGUUGGUUAGUGUUAGUGUUUAUUGACGUCGUUAAAGUGAAAUUUUAUUGUUGCAACAAUGUUUAAACGUAGUAAAAUAAACAGCUUCUAAGAGAAUUAAAACGAAUCUGCAAAAUGCAUUACAAACCUGCAAGGAGUCCACCGAUUUUCGCGAGGAUUAUAGUUCUUCACAUGAUCCAAAUUCUGCUCAAUCAGAUAUUUUGAUUAUUCAUUUUGUUGUUACAGAUUCAGCUAAAGAGUUAACUGAGACGAAUCCCUCCUGUGGUGUUUCUGUGGUCCAAUGCGAAGAGAUUGCAGAAGAACAAUCGGCAUCGUUACAAGUGCUAGAAAAUUUGGUAGAGUCAAUUGAGACGAAUCCUGCCUGUGGUCCAUUGCGAAGAAUUUGCAGAAAAACCACGAGUUCCAGAAAACUUGAUAGAAAACAUCAAAUAUUCGGUCAACGAAUUCAAUCUGUUCGAGUAUACAAUUGAAACCGAGAAUGAUAAAGACUUACUCACUAAUAAAAUACCGAGUGAAAGUUCAUUUACUUCUGAGGAAUAUGUCCUAGAAGAGGAAGAAAACGAGUCAACAAGUGACAAUGAUGAAGAUGGUGAAACAAAUUCUAUAGAAAUACCUCUACAACCAACAACAUCCAGAGAAGUUUUGGUACCUGAAGUUAAAAAAACACAGAAAAGGAAUGCAGAACCAGAUACAUGGAAAAGAAACGAACGAAAAAUAAAAAGAAUGUCUGGUAAGAGCUAUCAAACCAGAAAAAAUAUCGUUAUGCGAGAAAAAAAGCCAAGCUACAUCAAUUGCUCAAGGUGCAGAUUCAAAUGUUCUGAUAAGAUAUCUUUGGAGAGCACAAAAAGCACGCUUAUGCUCGUUGGUCACAGAAAAUAGCAUUCAACAUCACAGGAAACGAAAGCCAGAAAGCAAUAUCACAAAAACUAAAUCACGCGUAUAUUCACUACCUGAUGAACAAGGCUCUAAUGUGCGAGUUUGCUUAAAUUUUUUUUGUGCAACUUUUAGCAUAAGUUUUCAAAUUAUUGACCUUGCUUUGAAAAAACGUGGUCCAGGUGAAGCUUAUAUUGGUACUGAUGGACGAAAAGGAAAAAUUCCUGCCAAUAUUACAUCCGAAAAAGCAACAAAUCAUAUUAAAAAACAUAUAGACAGCUUUCCUCGUAUGGAAAGUCACUACAGUCGGCGCGAUACGAAAAAAUUGUAUUUGGCAGCUGAUUUGAAUUUAUCUGUUAUGUAUCGUUUGUAUGUUGAAAUUUAUUGUACAAGUGAAUCAAUCCCUUCUGUUUUUAUUAAUGUAUACCGAAAAAUAUUUAAUAGUUUUGAUUCACAACUGUCGUUCCAUGUCCCUAAAAAGGACCAAUGUUCCACAUGCAAUGUGUAUUAUAGCGCUACAGACAAAACCAAUUUGGAGGAAAGCUGGCAACUUCACAAAAAGAAGGAGGAAGAAGCAAUGGAGAUAAAAAAAGAUCAUUAGAAGACUCAAUCUAUCCAGCAAUUUCUUUUGAUUUAGAAGCUAUUUUGUUAGUCCCUUUUCCCCGCUGAUUUUCAAAUCUAUUACAAGCGUAAGCUCUCUGUUUUUAAUUUCACCAUAUUUGAUUCUUUUGAUCACAGUGGUCACUGUUUUCUUUGGGAUGAAACUCAUGGCUCUAAAGGAGCUUCAGAAAUUGGUACGUGCCUAUUAAAGUAUUUGUAUAACUUACCUCAGACUGUGUCACAUGUUUCUAGUUUUUCUGAUACUUGCGGAGGGCAAAAUCGGGAUCAAUUUGUUACUGCAGCGAUGUUGUUUGCUGUCAAUAAAAUUGAACACUUACAAAUUGUAGAUCUAAAGUUCAUGAAAUCCGGCCAUUCCUAUCUAGAGGCAGAUUCAAUACACGCCACUAUUGAACGAGCACGUAAACAUCGCAAAAUUUUCACAACCGAAGAAUAGGCGUUGUUAAUAGAAAUGGCAAGAAAAAAACCAUGUCCGUAUCAGGUCUAUAUAGUUGCUUUUCCAGAUUUUUAGGACUUGGCGUCACUUGUAAUGCAAAAUACCAAAGUAAAUACUUCUAAGGAACAAAUGAAAUGGCUUCACAUUAAAUGGCUAAGAUUUGAUAAAUCUAAACCAUUCAUCAUUCAAUAAAAAUAUUCAUUGACUGAUAAUGAAUUCUUAGAAUUAAAUGUUUUGCAAGAAAGAAAAAAGAAAACUGUAUCAUGGGAAACUCUGGAGCACAAAAAUAUAAAGAAUAGAAAAGAAAUAAAAUAAAAGAUUGCCAAUUUCAGAAGCCAAAAAAAAAGACUUACUUUAUUUGCUUGGUAAGCAAAUUAUUCCCUUGUUCAAUAUAAAACAAAUCCUAACGUCGACGAUGAAGAGGAUUAAAAUGCCGAUAAUACGAUAAGCUUUGUUCUACCUUCAAUUUGUCACCGAAUGUGUUUUUCUCAAUAAAAUCUUGAAAUUGUAAUAAUAAAUAAAUUGUUUUUUUUAUUAAGCCUAUUUGUAGUAUGUCCACUCGAGGAUAUUUAAUAUAUUGUAUCUCCAGCAUAUUUCGAAUUAUAACUAUUUUUAUUAAAAAUGGUGAUAGCAAUUUGUAAUAUCAUAAUAUAUUGGUAUUACAAAUACCUGAACUCACUUAAAAAAUACCAAAUAUUUACCAGAAAUUUACUUGCGGAAUUAAUGCGGAAGAAAAUCUAUUUUUCGUAUUUCUGCAAAAUUUAUAAAUUUGGACAUACAAUAUUUGCGCUUUAAACCAUCGAUAUAUCAUUAUGCAUAUGUGAAUAAAAUAUGUAGGGCAAUUUAAAGUCUUUUAUUUUAACAAAUAUUUUCUUUAUUUGUAUGAUACAGGUAAGUAGUAAUAAGGGUAUAUUCCGUCUGUAUCUUUGCUUACGGUAAAUGGUAAAAAUAUUUGUCUGAGUAACGUGACGUGCGGCAAACAAAAUGUAGAUCAGCGAAUUUGGUUGUCCUUGUUUAGAAAGAGAUAAAUCGAGUUGACGUGAAGCAAAGUGAAAAAAUAUUUCGUCCAGUACAUAGACUUAUAACCAAGGAUAGACCCAGCAUGUUUACAUUAAAUGAAAUCAUACACGCAUAUAGAUAUAAAGGCCAUGAUGCCAAGUUGAAAAGAUGUUUCGCCGGAAAAUGUAUUAUUUUUCUAUUUAAUUGCCAAUAAUCCACAAAUUAUCACACUAUUUACUGUAACAAGUUCCCAUAUCAAAUAUAAAAUAUUCGUGUCAUGCAAAAUUUGUUCCUCAGGUACCUAAAUACCUAAAAAUACAAUAAAAUACCAGUUUUAUACGACCGCACCCAAAACAACGGAAUUUCCGAAACAAACUGACCUGGUGACGAAAGUGGCAACUCAUCUGUUUACGACGUAAAUUCAUUUUUACUAUUUCAUUCAUUUUUCGUGUGCGCUGUUGCCUAACAGAGAUCUCGAGCUUUAUAGUCGUUUUUUUGUGAUUAUUUGAUUGUUUUUAACGUUUUUUGUGUUGUUUUGGACUAUUAAGACUUAAUACCAUGACUAAAAAGUGUCACGUGUGCCAAAGAACGAGUACUACGUCGGAAAAUGUAUAUUUUCAUAGAUUUCCAUCUGAACCUGCUGAAUAAACCAAUUACCAAAAUCUGCACUGAUUUGCUCUGAACAUUUUAAGUCAUCUGACUUUUUUCAGAGUCGAGAUGACAAAAAAUGUCUUAAGCCAGGUUCCCUUCCAAAGUUAGUGGGAUCUCUUUAUGAUAGUUCUUCGACUAGCUUAUCAUCUCAAAGUUUUAACAUCAGUUUGUCACCUUGUGGAUCCAAGCUUACAGAAAAUGAGCCGGUCGCUCGUAAUGUUACUGCGAAAUGUUCACCAGACAUUGAUCAUGAAUUAUCCUGCAUACCUGGCCCUUCAGAAAUGAUACAGAGAUCAUCACCUACAUCUUCUAGGACAGCUACUGCCUCUGAAGCUGAAUCAGAGGCCUGUACUAGUGUUUCAGCUGAUCAUUCCACGUUACAGCCCAAGGCAGUUGACGGAGAUAGCCUUCCUGAAGCUAAGGAGGCACUGGUGUUUAUGGUGGUACCCAUCAAUGAUUCUUGAAAAGUGCCUGUUGGGUAUUUUUUUCUAAAUGGGCUUGAAUCUGCUGCUAAAGCAGACUUAGUAAUUAAUUGUAUCAGAUUAAUACUGUGAUGACAGUAAUACUGUGAAUUUAUUUAUGUGAAUAAAUUUAUAUAUUAUUUUAGAAAA